rnacentral:lncRNA from 1 species
AACAGACCCCUCCCUCCACUAAGGCUUCCAAACGUCGCCCCAAGCCUCCCAAUUUCUCGCAGCCCUUCAUGCUCUUCUCUUGGCCCUAGCAGGAGCCCAUCCUCUAUUCCUAUUUCCGAAGCUCCUGCUCAUGGAGAGUUCGAAUUGCUCUGGCCUUGAAAGGCAUCGACUACGAGACGGUGCCCAUCAAUCUCAUAAAGGAUGGGGGCCAACAGUUUUCUAAGGACUUCCAGGCACUGAAUCCUAUGAAGCAGGUGCCAACCCUGAAGAUUGAUGGAAUCACCAUUCACCAGUCAGUGAGUGCAGGGCCUGGGGGAGGGCCCUCAUGAGAGCAGUGCCCUGAAUGAGAGCGCCUGACAUCUCUUCCUCGCCUGUGUACAGUCAAGGUGCCUAGCACAUAGGAGAGGCUCAAUACAAGACUCGUGGGGAGGGUGCGAGGUUAUUUAGGAAAAUAAGGGAAGAUUCAAGCACAUGGAGAACCAAGUUCUGCAUGAUAAGGUCCAAAAAGGCUUAUAGGGCUUGAGCUGAGC